UUGCAUCUACUACUUUAUAACCACAUCAAUUGGCAUCGUUUUGAAGAAAUCUUUCUCAGUUCUCAUAGUCUUUUCCUCUGUCCAUAGCUCACCAGUUUUGACAUUUCUGUUCCUGCACAAAAAUGAAGUCUGUAGAACUAUUUUGCGCCUCCCCAGCAUCCACAGCCAUUUGUUCUAGCAUGGACCAACGUAGCAUGGUCCGGCAAGGAGGGAUUAGGCGGAUCGAUCACCACGGUCACCGCUUUGGUGAUCAUCACCACAGGCAUAAAACCAGAACUCCAAUCCCUUGUUCAUCUCAAAUUCCCAUUAGUCCAAGAGCUUAUUUUGAUAAAACCAGAAAAAGCAAUUCUUCUGCUAAGCAAAAUCUUGAAUCUCUUCGCAGAAAAAGCUCUGCUGAUAUCAGUGACCUCUCCAGUCCUCCUCCUACUGGUUCCUCUAGACAUUUGUUGAGUGAUACCCCGUUACUUGAGCUAUUAUCAGAUUCUGAGCAUUCCUCCUCUGCACUUGUACCUAGCCAACCUCUUAGAAGUUUAAAGUACCAUAAAUUCAAUGAGUCAACAGUUUUCAGAUCUUCAAUGUCCAGCACGCACUCAUAUGACAAUCCUGUGUAUGAAUUUUCUUGGGCAGGACGGUCAAAUGAUGAUUUACAUGCUUAUAAAUCUUCCUCACCUCGCUCAAACAAUGAUUCCAGUGUUCAAAACUCUUCAGCAUCUCGCAAAUAUGAUGAUCUCCAUGCUCGAAAAUCUUCACUGUCUCGCUUAAUUCAUGAUGAUUUCCAAGCUCAGAAAUCUUCAUUAUCUCGGACUGAUACUUCACUUUCUAGUAAAUCUUCAUUAACAUGCAGGAAUGAGGGGCAUGCUUACAAAUCUCCAUCAACUCCUGGCCGACCCCGUCAUCAGAAUUGAGGGUCUCAAUUCACUGCAGGGGUUGUGAAGGAAAAAUAAGAAAACACAUUGCCAAAAUGGAAGGAGUGACUUCAUUCAGCACAGAUCUGGCCAC